AGUGAACGCUGGCGGUAGGCCUAACACAUGCAAGUCGAACGGCAGCACAGUAAGAGUUUGCUCUUACGGGUGGCGAGUGGCGGACGGGUGAGGCAUACAUCGGAAUCUUCUUUUUCGUGGGGGAUAACGUAGGGAAACUUACGCUAAUACCGCAUACGACCUACGGGUGAAAGCAGGGGAUCUUCGGACUUUGCGCGAUUGAAUGAGCCGAUGUCGGAUUAGCUAGUUGGCGUGGUAAAGGCCCACCAAGGCGACGAUCCGUAGCUGGUCUGAGAGGAUGAUCGGCCACACUGGAACUGAGACACGGUCCAGACUCCUACGGGAGGCAGCAGUGGGGAAUAUUGGACAAUGGGCGCAAGCCUGAUCCAGCCAUACCGCGUGGGUGAAGAAGGCCUUCGGGUUGUAAAGCCCUGUUGUUGGGAAAGAAAAGCAGCAGGUUAAUACCCCGCUGUUCUGACGGUACCCAAAGAAUAAGCACCGGCUAACUUCGUG
rnacentral:rRNA from 1 species